AUUGAACGCUGGCGGCAGGCCUAACACAUGCAAGUCGAGCGAGCGGCGGACGGGUGAGUAUUGUCUGGGAAACUGCCUGAUGGAGGGGGAUAACUACUGGAAACGGUAGCUAAUACCGCAUACCAUCAGAUGUGCCCAGAUGGGAGUAGCUAGUAGGUGGGGUAACGGCUCACCUAGGCGACGAUCCCUAGCUGGUCUGAGAGGAUGACCAGCCACACUGGAGCGGAGACACGGUCCAGAGUCCUACGGGAGGCGGCAGUGGGGAAGAUUGCACAAUGGGGGCAAGCGUGAUGCGGCCAUGCGGCGUGUGUGAAGAGGGCCUUCGGGUUGUAAAGCGCUUUCAGCGAGGAGGCGUUGCCCGCAGAGGAAGCACCGGCUAGCUCCGUGCCAGCAGCCGCGGUAAUAC
rnacentral:rRNA from 1 species